AGGCCACAUGAUGCCCCAUGACACGACUCCUCCCAGGAGGACGGAGACGUUAACGAUGUAAGGGCAGAUCAUCCCGACGCCGACGUACGUCGCCGAGAAGUCGAAGAAGAACCUGCGAUAAGCAUCGAACAGCAUCUGCAGAGCCUCGAGGCCCAGCGUCGGGAAGGACAUGAAGCCGCAGCCCUCGCCGGCGGUGUAGAACCACUGGAAGAAGCCCCAAGUGAAGCUGCCGGCAAAGAAUUUCCCCAGCGUCCUGACCUGCCUCCUGCAGCAAUCAGUUCAGACACAUGCAUUUCAGGUUAUGAGAACAGUUACCAGAAACAGAGAUAGAUACAGUCUCUGCAUCAGAGAGUAGUCAGUGUACUUGGCAAGCUUGGCGCCCUGGGGAGUGUGGAAGCUGUUGAUGAGGUGGGCAGUGGCAGUGCCACUCGGGUAGAUGAGCUUGUAAUCGAUGAUCAUUAUCUGAACACAACGAACAACACCAUCAUCAAACUAACCAUGCUGGACUGGACAAAUUGGAGUGUCAAUCAUAGUUUAAUAAUGAAUGUGUGUACCUUCCUCAGGGGCACCACAGAGAAGAGGCCGAGGAAGCUGACGAUGAAGAGGAAGCCGAUCAUCCAGCCCAAGGCGGGGUUCUUGAUGUUGUGCUCGUCCAAGGUUUCCCCCGACUGCUCGCUGAUCCUCUCGCUCAUCCCGAACAUGUAACUUCCAAACCCACCUGCAGAAUAGGCAGAUCAGCGAAGCAAUCCAUUCGAGAGGAAGGGACUGAAAUCUCUGACGCCGAACAGAGAAAGCUGCUGUCGAUACCGAAAAGGAACUGCAGGGUUCCAUUGCAUUCCCAAAUCUCCAUUUUUGGACCA